rnacentral:lncRNA from 1 species
CUCAUGUAUUGUCUCGAUCUGAUAUCCAUUUUGAAUGAUAUCUUUAAAACUCAGCAAGUACCUUUUAGACUUGGAGGAGAACAUUUUGACUGAUAUCAUUAAAACUCAACAAGUUCUUCUUAGACUUGGAGGAGAACAUUGCAUUCUCUAAAUAUCGUUCCUUUAGGCAGAGUUAUAGUUGCUCUUCAGGAGCCUUCAAUCAAUUUAAUUCCCAUAGUUUUCCAUACAAAAGAAAAUAUACGAACAUGUAUUAUUCCUUUAGGCAGAGAUAUAGUUGCUCUUCAGGAGCCUUCAAUCAAUUUAAUUCCCAUAGUUUGCCAUACAAAAGAAAAUAUACGAAUAUGAGAAUAAACAAAUUCAGUCCGUUUGUUUCAUACUUAAACAAUAUUUUCGAAAUC